rnacentral:rRNA from 1 species
GACGUAGGGCGCGAGCGUUGUCCGGAUUUAUUGGGCGUAAAGAGCUCGUAGGCGGCUUGUCGCGUCGACUGUGAAAUCCCGCGGCUCAACUGCGGGUCUGCAGUCGAUACGGGCAGGCUAGAGUUCGGUAGGGGAGACUGGAAUUCCUGGUGUAGCGGUGAAAUGCGCAGAUAUCAUUUGGAACGCCAAUGGUGAAAACAGGUCGCUGGGAGUGUGCUGACGCUGAGACACGAAAGCCAGGGGAGCAAACGGG